rnacentral:tRNA from 1 species
GGGGUUGUGGCUCAGUGGUAGAGCGCGUGCCUAGCAUGUUCGAGGCACUGGGUUCGAUCCUCAGCACCA